ACUACGGCGUAGUGGCCUAGUACGUCCGUAGUCGAUGAGUCGAGUGAAUUAUUACAGAGAUAAUAAUUCACUGAGUUAGAAGGAGUUCUGACAGGUAUGACUCACGGCCAGCUCGAUAUUAGGCCUAGAGGGUCACACACAUAUGGUAGGCAUUGCGAUGAGUAGAGGUUCGGAUAUGAGAUAUCCGACGGAGCCCUUGUCUUAUUGGAUGCAGAUCCAAUACCCACUAGGGAAGGACCCAUUAGGGUUUGACACGGGAUCUCUAUAAAUAGGAGGGAUUCACAGCCUCAUAGGCUAGAGUCUUUGCUUGCCUUUCCUAUUCUCCUCUCCCUCUCCACCUCAGAGUAGGCCUGGAGUUUUGAGGAGCGUCGUCGUAACCCUGCUGUGUGGAUCACCGCUAGAGAGGAGGACGCUUGACCUCCUUCACCCUCUCCUAAGGAUCUGCAAGGAAACAGGGAUAUACGAUCUCCCUAGGUAACACAAUCUCAAUACGCAGUUUUGUGUUUUGCGGAUUUUUGCGCACCAAUCUUCGCACAACGACGAACAUCUUUUUGGGAAUCGGGGAUUUUUGUUUUCUUGUUCUUUCGCUGCGCAUAUGAUGUCGCCCCCUAAUGAUUUCCC
rnacentral:lncRNA from 1 species